UACAGAGGAGCCAAGCGUUGUUCGGAUUUACUGGGCGUAAAGGGCGCGUAGGCGGCGCGGUAAGUCACUUGUGAAAUCUCUGAGCUUAACUCAGAACGGCCAAGUGAUACUGCAGUGCUAGAGUGCAGAAGGGGCAAUCGGAAUUCUUGGUGUAGCGGUGAAAUGCGUAGAUAUCAAGAGGAACACCUGAGGUGAAGACGGGUUGCUAGGCUGACACUGACGCUGAGGCGCGAAAGCUAGGGGAGCAAACGGG
rnacentral:rRNA from 1 species